rnacentral:tRNA from 1 species
UUUAAAUAGCUUAUAAUAACAGAGUGUAAUAUUGAAGAUAUUAAGGAAAUUAAUUAAAUUUUUAAAUG